AUUGAACGCUGGCGGAAUGCUUUACACAUGCAAGUCGAACGGCAGCACGGACUUCGGUCUGGUGGCGAGUGGCGAACGGUUGAGUAAUGUAUCGGAACGUGCCCAGUAGUGGGGGAUAACGUAGUGAAAAUUACGCUAAUACCGCAUACGAUCUAUGGAUGAAAGCGGGGGAUCGCCAGACCUCGCGCGAUUGGAGCGGCCGAUAUCAGAUUAGGUAGUUGGUGGGGUAAAGGCUCACCAAGCCGACGAUCUGUAGCUGGUCUGAGAGGACGACCAGCCACACUGGGACUGAGACACGGCCCAAACUCCUACGGGAGGCAGCAGUGGGGAAUUUUGGACAAUGGGCGCAAGCCUGAUCCAGCCAUUUCGCGUGCAGGACGAAGGCCUUCGGGUUGUAAACUGCUUUUGUACGGAACGAAUAGGCUCUGGUUAAUACCUGGGGCUCAUGACGGUACCGUAAGAAUAAGCACCGGCUAACUACGUGCCAGCCGCCGCAGUAA
rnacentral:rRNA from 1 species